CCUACGUGAGGCAGCAGUGAGGAAUAUUGGUCAAUGGGCGCGAGCCUGAACCAGCCAAGUAGCGUGAAGGAUGACUGCCCUACGGGUUGUAAACUUCUUUUAUAAAGGAAUAAAGUGAGGCACGUGUGCCUUUUUGUAUGUACUUUAUGAAUAAGGAUCGGCUAACUCCGUGCCAGCAGCCGAGGUAAUACGGAGGAUCCGAGCGUUAUCCGGAUUUAUUGGGUUUAAAGGGAGCGUAGAUGGGUUGUUAAGUCAGUUGUGAAAGUUUGCGGCUCAACCGUAAAAUUGCAAUUGAUACUGGCAGUCUUGAGUACAGUUGAGGUAGGCGGAAUUCGUGGUGUAGCGGUGAAAUGCUUAGAUAUCACGAAGAACUCCGAUUGCGAAGGCAGCUUACUAAACUGCCACUGACAUUGAUGCUCGAAAGUGUGGGUAUCAAACAGGAGUAGAUACCCCUGUAGUC
rnacentral:rRNA from 1 species